ACAGGAUGAGGCACAGCAAGUUCAAGGGACUUGCCAAGGUUUCCUGGCUAAUGAGCGUGUGCACAAGGACUUCAGUAUCUGUUCUUGGAGUCCAGAUCUGCAGCCCUUGUGGAUCUGGAUGGUCCUUACAGGAAAGGAGAAGUGACAUCCCAGGAGGGUUUGGACCAUGGGUCUAUAAUCUAUUAUCUGAAGACCCCUGGAAAAAGUGGCAUUUCCAUUCUCAUUUGACAUGUGAGAACAAUGAAGCAAAGAGCUAGGAAGAAGCAAAGUCAGUGUUGCUGCAUCCGACGCUCCCUCCCAGGAAGCAAGGCCGCUGAAAAGGCUGAGGCUGGAAAACCAAGAGACCGAGAGUACCAAGUACAGCGGAAAGGUCCAAGGUUCCCUCCCCGCGAAGCCGCGGCGAAGUCUCUGUUUCUCAUUGGCUUGAAAGAAACCUGGCAGAACCGCGUGUUCUGAUUGGACAAAGCUAACCGCAGACUCCUAGAGCCCAGCACAAGGGAACCACCCCGCAGCAAAUGGACUUAAAGCCAAGGAAAAGAAUAGGGGUCCCGUUCCCAGGGAAACUGGGAUAGUUAUGAGACGGUGAACCAAUGCUAGGGAGUGAACAGCAGGUGGACACUACACUGUAAAAGCUCACCGCAACAAUUAAAAUACUUCUUUUCCAAUGAUCUCAUAGACGUUCUUGGUCUUAUGUAUUAUAAACAUCCAGGAACUUUCGCGGCGACUUUCAUUUUUGGAUAAUGAAUAUAAAUAAGGAGAGAGGUAUAAGAAAAUUUGAACCAAGACAGGACAGCUGUGAUAUGUGGACACUCAUGGGCUACCUCUGUUAUGCCCUUUCAUGUGGACUUUUUGAUACCUCCGUGUAUUGUGGAAUUGCAGAAUCUUCACUUUGGGGUGGGUGGAAAAGCUCAUCCAUCCCUGAUCCCACAUGGAGCAGAGAGUCUGUCCCCAAUGCUAUUAACAACAAUGCCCCCUGCCAGCUCCUCUUUCCAAGGUGCUUUAACCUAAGGCACUGUGAGAAUGGACAACAGCACAGGUGAAAAGGGGUGAUCUCUAGAUGUUUGCUUGACUUCAGCCCUAUGAAAACCUUGGGAAACAUACUCAGCUUAUCCUUCAUUUCCUUCACCACCCCAUCUCAGGCAGACCUCAUCUUUAAUGUACCCCCGUCACCUCCUUCAACUUGUCCUAAUUUUCCUAGCACUAUCCUACUUCUUGUGAUUCCAAGCCUAGGCUCUCCUCUGAAACCAAAAGAGCCUUUCCUCAAUCUUUUAUGUAUCCUGACAUUCGUUAAUAUCUCCUAAGAUUUCUUAGAAAACUUGGAAUGGAACCACCAUUUGACUCAGAUAUCCCAAUCCUCGGUUUAUAUCCUAAGGAUUUAAAAUCACCAUACUACAGUUACACAGCCACUACAAUGUUUAUAGCAGCUCAAUUUAUAAUAGCCAAGCUAUGGAACCAACCUAGGUACCCUGCAAC